rnacentral:lncRNA from 11 species
AUGCUAAUCAUCAUUAUCAUCCUAUAGUAGAGUCUCACUUAUCCAACACUCGCUUAUCCAAGGUUCUGGAUUAUCCAAGGCAUUUUUGUAGUCAACGUUUUCAAUAUAUUGUGAUAAGAGGUAAAGGUUUUCCCCUGAUGUUAAGUCCAGUCAUGACCGACUGUGGGGGGUUGGUGCUCAUCUCCAUUUUUAAGCUGAAGAGCCGGCGUUGUCCGUAGACACCUCCAAGGUCAUGUGGCUGGCAUGACUGCGUGGAGCGCCGUUACCUUACUGCUGGAGCGGUACCUAUUUAUCUACUCACAUUUGCAAGUCUUCGAACUGCUAGGUUGGCAGGAGCUGGGGCUAACAGUGGGCGCUCAUUCUGCUCCCGGGAUUUGAACCUGGGACCUUUCAGUCUGCAAGUUUAGCAGCUCAUUGCUUUAACGCACUUCGCCACCACCAGGGCACCAAAGUAUUGUGAUAUUUUGGUGCUAAAUUCGUAAAUACAGUAAUUACAACAUAACAUUACUGCGCAUUGAAAUACUUCUCCUGUUAAAUUUGUUGUAUAACAUGAUGUUUUGGUGCUUAAUUUGUAAAAUCAUAACCUAAUUUGAUGUUUAAUAGGCUUUUCCUUAAUGUCUCCUUAUUAUCCGACAUAUUCGCUUAUCCAACGUUCUGCCGGCCCGUUUAUGUUGGAUGAGAUUCUACUGUAUAAUCAUCAUCACCAUCAUCCUUAAUUUAUCUGAGGCCUACAUUACACACAACCCCCCUCCCACCCCGUUACAAUCCCCUCUCGCGGAGAAACCAGCCCCCUCCUUGCCCGGACCCCCAUUUCUCACUCAGAUAUGGCGAGUGAUUGUCGACGCCCACUCUGGGAGCUGAGUCCGGCCCGGAAAGCGGCCGCCGAGGCCAACAGGGCGGUGCUGAAGGCCCGGAAGGCCGAGGCCGGCAAGCCAAGGCCCGCCCCCCGCCUCCUCCGGCCAACGUUGUUUCCUGCGUUGGGAGACAGUUUGAGCGGAGGCGGGGGCGGGCCAGGCCUGUACGCCGGGAAAAUACAAAAACAAGGCCGCCUGCAGCCCCUCUUGGCCUGGCCCCCAGUCGAGGGCCCACUGCCCAGAGUGGGCAAAGCCGAGGAGCGCCCGGGCUUGGGCGGGCCUUCUUGUAGGGCCAGGAGGAGGCCCCACGCGCAGGGCGAGCUCCGGCCUCUCCUGCUGCCCGCCCUGGAUCCCCCGCGCCAGCCCCCGCCAACCGCCAACAUCCGGGGACUCCACCAGGAGGAGCACUUCCUGCCGGAGAUCCGGCCGACCUCCGGACUGCGGGAGCUAGAACCUUUUCAGGAAGUGAUUGUCCGUUCUCCCAAGAUGGAACAGGAGCCAUCAGGUGCGGAAGACAUGGACCUCUUCAUGGACUUUGAACCGGACAGCGAUGGGGACUCAAACUUGCUCACACCUCAGGGAGGAAGGCAGACUGGAUUUCAACACAAGCCUCUCUCAAGAUAG